GAGUCGUUGAGUUUCUUGACUUUAUAUGUAUCUAUAUAAUAAACAAAUAUUCUUAGUGUAUUUGACUGGUAGCGUUGAAGAAUUUCUAUAUUUGAUUUGGAAGCCGUGUCCCACAGCUGUAUACCAUAUGCCCACACUGGUUUUAAAAUCACUUUGUAUAAACAAAUUUUAUUCUCAAGACUUAGUUCAGACUUCGAACGAAGAAGCCAAUACAUUCUGUGUGUCUUAAUCUUAAGUUGCUGCCGCUUUGCUUAGAUAUGAUCUUUCCACGUAAGUCGUCCAUUAAGAUACAUUCCAAGAUUACUAACUGAACUUUUUCAGGAAUCUGAGUGUCAUUUUUACAUUAUAUAAAUGUUACGUGGUCAGAUUUCUCGGUCUUCACUUUAACAUUCAAUUUUUUCAUCCAUGUUUCUAUUCCUUCCAAUUCAAGUUGAAUAUGUGAUGUAGCACUAGCUGGAAUAUCGUCAGCUGCCAUUAAAGUAGUGUAACAAUCAAAACCUCUUUGGAGGUUAGGAAAUCAGAGGUGGAUAUAAUAUUAUAUAAAGGACAGGUCCAGGAACACUACCUUGAGGCAAUCCAGUGUUCGUUCCUAUGAUUUAUAUAAAAGCUGCGACCACUCAAAUACGAUUUCAGCAUUAAAUAAAAUGGAGAAGGAAAUAUUUUUUUAUUUUAUAAGGCAAUCCUGCCACACAAGAUCAAAAGUCUGUUGAAUAUCCGAAAAUACUCCUGAGGAGUAUUUUUUAUUUUCAAGUGCAUCAGGUAAAUGGUGAUCAAUAACUGACAACAUUCUUCCCAGAAAUAUUCUUUAAAAAAUUUUGUUGGAAAGUGAUCAAGUUGAAGAAUUGUGUUGAAUAACAAAGUCAAAUAUUGCAUGCAUUUAUCCGAAAGCGCUUUAAUAAUUUUUGCUUGAAUACCAUUAUAUCCUCCUACUUUUGUGCUUUUAUGUCUUCUUCAACUUCUAAUUGUGAUAUAGAUUUUACUGGAAAAUCCAUUUGACAAGCCACAUAAAGAAAUCCCAUAACUUCUUUUUUAUCUGUAAGGCUGUUGAUUGGUAUUCACAAAAUACUUGCGCUUUACUUGAGUCAGAUGUACACCACGACCUUUUAGUAUUUCUAAUGGCAACAUUUCUUCUUGAAGGUUUUAAAUAUAAAUAUAAUUUCGUUAUUUUCCAUAAACUGUGCUCGGUGUUUUUUAUCAACUACAAGAUUUUUGAGAAAUUCUGAGACUGUCUGAUUCUUAUAAUCGCCUGAGGCUUAUAAGGCUAAUUUGAGUUCUUUGGUGGCCCGAUUAAAUUUCUUUUUAUCACUUGUGUAUACUUUGAAUAAGCAAUCGUCUAUUCUGCCAAAUGUUUCUUAAUUUGGCCUUCUUUCUUAUCAUAUCUCUUAUUAGAAAGGAAAUAUAGGUUUUAUGAGGAAAACGAGAUUGAUUAAUGGGAGUAGCUUGAUAUAUUGCUUCGUAAAUAAGUCUAUUUUUAAUAAGUGUAUUUGAUUCUAUGCGAACAUCCAAAUACUGACGAAAGUAAUCUAUGUCAGUUGUUGCUGUUAUAAACUUUUGCCUUCUAGUUGUUUCAGGCUGUGAGUUUAUAGUAACAAAUAUGGCCGAAUGAUCCGAGCUUAUAUCAAAAUUUUCUAAAAUGGAUAGCUCGGAAUUCCUUUAUAUACUUGUACAACAAAGUCCAGAAGAUGUAGACGCGCCCUUAGAUAAAACAGCCAAGUGAAUUGAAUUAUUUAAUAAUUUAAAUAACAAAAAAUCUAAGAUCGCACGUUUGUUUUGAAUUUCUACUGUCAAAAUUUUCCGUUUGGGGCACUAAAAUACUAAUUCUUUUUAUAUCAAAUAUUUCACCUCAUCUCAAUACAGAAUAAAAUCAAAAGGGUGCCUCUAAUUAUGAAGAGAAACUCCGAUAAGCCUUUAACAUAGUAAAUUCAAAAUUCAAUUCUACACUCAAUAAUAAUAAAAAAUAGCAAUUUAUUAUCACGUCACGACAAUUGAAAAGUGAGAAUUUCUUAUAAACCAAUUCAAAACUGGAAAGUCGCAGCGGGCAAAUUAUUCUGCGCCCAAAAUGUGAGGCCGGUACUACGUGCACAUGACCUCAAUGCCUGAGUAGCAAGAAUGAAGUAAUUCAUUGGCUAUUGCAGAUAAAAUAAGCCAAUUUGCCUUCGCCUGAGAGCUAAAAACUAAAGCUUUGCAUUAUUGAAGACGUUUAUUUUUGCAGACAAGCAAAGUCCAAUCAAAGAUCUAUGUUUGGUGGAAACCUAAUACCGAGCUCCAAUAGUUUAAUGUCAAGCCGACUGUGAAGCGUACUGGUUGCAAUGCUAUGAUGUGGGAAACAACAACCGUAAACACCACACCCUAAGCAACAAAGCAGUCCGAUUUUGGAAAAGUGGCACGAAACUGGACUGUAAACAACGAACAAAUUGUUGAAAUCAAUGACAGCUGAGCCAAAGUGCUACACUAAACAUUAAAUAUAUUUUAAUUAAUUUCUUUAAGUAAUUUCAAAAGAAAAAUGAGCAUUACACAAUAGCCCUGAGUCUGAAAUAUUGGUAUAUUUUGGGAUAUUGAUUUUUAAAAAGUAAACAAAUAUAAGAAAAUAAAUGAAAGAGUCAAAUCGAUAAACUUUAUACGUGAUACAAUUUUGGACAUCAUUUUAGGUCAACGUCAAGGCUAUUAGUCACGUCUUCUUUCGCUUGUCCUCAAUGCCGCAAACUCAAUCCAAAAUCUCACAAGAUAUAUUUAAAUUUGGAAGAGACAAAAAAUAAGGAUAUAGAACGCCUAAAAGCUGAACUCAAGCUGGCGGAAUUAAAGUUGCAGGAAAUGAAUAAAAAGGUUCAAACUGAGGGAAAAUGCUCUGACUUGCCUUGUCACAUGAAAAGUGAAGUAUUGAGUUUGCCCUUUGAAUUGAAAGGUAUAAUAAUGAAAGGAGUUUCUAAAUCGGAAAUUAAAACUCCUCUCAUCGAUACAAUUUUAAUGUUUGCUUUUAUUAUGAAAAUACCUUGUGAGCGCUCUGAUAUUGAAACAGUGUUUAUUUUUGAUCGAAAGUAUCUUCUAAGGCCUCAAAAUUAUAACAACAAACUCAACAUAGUUGUAAAAUUUACCACACACAAAAUUAAGGAUUUAUUUCUUAGAAAUAAGGAAAUUUUGUAUCCUCAAGGAAUAACAUUAAACGAAUAUGUGGACCAAGAUACUAACGAAUUAUUUGGAUAUGCCAAAUCUCUGCUAUCUGCUAACUAUAAACACAUAUUUUGCAGACAUAACAGUAUUUUUGUGCAGAAAGAUGACGACGAUAUUUUACACCAUAUCUAUAAUAAAAACGACGUUGAUAUGCUUGUAUCAUUGUAAUCAAAAAUGUAUCCUUUUUGUUAAUAAACGAUUUUUUUAAUCUCUUA